UGUGGUGAUGAUGGCGCAGAUGAUACACCUGUUCCCAUGCCGAACACAGAAGUUAAGCUCUGUAGCGCCGAAAGUAGUUGGGGGAUCGCUCCCUGCGAGGAUAGGACGUCGCCAUGC
rnacentral:rRNA from 1 species